rnacentral:rRNA from 1 species
ACGAACGCUGGCGGCAUGCCUAACACAUGCAAGUCGAACGAGACCUUCGGGUCUAGUGGCGCACGGGUGCGUAACGCGUGGGAACCUGCCCUUAGGUUCGGAAUAACUCCCCGAAAGGGGUGCUAAUACCGGAUAAUGUCUUCGGACCAAAGAUUUAUCGCCUUUGGAUGGGCCCGCGUUGGAUUAGCUAGUUGGUAGGGUAAAAGCCUACCAAGGCGACAAUCCAUAGCUGGUCUGAGAGGAUGAUCAGCCACACUGGGACUGAGACACGGCCCAGACUCCUACGGGAGGCAGCAGUGGGGAAUAUUGGACAAUGGGCGAAAGCCUGAUCCAGCAAUGCCGCGUGAGUGAUGAAGGCCUUAGGGUUGUAAAGCUCUUUUACCCGGGAUGAUAAUGACAGUACCGGGAGAAUAAGCUCCGGCUAACUCCGUG